CUGACCGGGGGCAGGGGGUGGAGAGAGGAGGAGGAGGACGGAGAGGGAGGGAGGGAAGGAGAGAAGGAGGGACGAACGGGAGCCUCUCUCCUUCCCUGGGCUGUUUUUUCAGUUUCCUGUCUCUCAUUGUGCUCACAGCGGAUAUGUGCUGCGCCUACAGCAGGAACAAGUACACAUCAAAAGGCACUUCAUCCUGGAAGCUAUUUGCACAGAAGCCCGAGCCCCAAGAAGUCCCUUUCACUAGUGGUGGUCGCGCUGCUCAGCUUUGGCUGAUGUAGUUGCCAGGAAUAUUU
rnacentral:lncRNA from 14 species